rnacentral:lncRNA from 1 species
GGCUGCAAAUACUGGUUUGAAGUUCCCGCCUUUUACUCAAUGCACCCAUUGCCUUUUGUUAUACCCAUGUGGUAACCUUUAAGUGUCAUUCAUAACGUUAUUUUUCUAUUACAAAAUAAAAAAAACAUAUGUGACGUCCACAAGCUUGCAUGUCUUAUUUUCUUCAUAACACGCCAGGUGGCGAAGAAGAGCUAAACUUGAUUGCUGGGCGCGCGCAUGGUUGUGCAACUGGUGUCAGCGCGUUUUCAAACUUCUAAGUUUCUCAUGCACAUGUGCACGUCGUGACAACCAGUGUGCGGCGUUUUGAAGUACAGCGUGGGAACUGUGGUGUCGUUCCAUGGGCGAGUCCGGCAACAGCAGCGGCAGUGAGGAGCACUUCAGUUCAGCCGAAGAUGACAUGGCUUGGAGUGAGAAGAAUGAUGGCAGCUCAAGUGACUUGCACCUUGCUCAAGGGAGACCCACGCCGUGGUGGGGUGCUGCGGUGCCUGGUGCUGCCGCUGAAUGUGGAGAGAAAACUCGUCACUGUACACCUCUCCGCUCUGCCUUUCACGCUGCCUCGAAAACCCGCUGCUUUGCUCGCACGCUGCAUGCGUUCUGCAUGUGUUUUUGCUGGUUUCAUGGCUUGCGAGGCGUUCUAAGAAGGUCCGCAUGACUGAGGACUCCUUUCGCAGCUUCAGUGUGGUGAAGGAGCAGUGUCUACUCAGCCUUGUAAGAGAUGCGGAGUAGGUAAUAGCAGACAACAUCAUCCUGUUCUGCGCGAAGGGCCAUUUGUGGUGCAACUGAGAACGAGGGAAAAAAAACGAGAAGACAGGAUAGGGUGCCCAAUUCACUAAAUUUGCCCCAAGAAACAGGAAUGUGCUGUUUCCCACAACAUAUAUCUGCUACAAGUCCGUGGCGCCUCUGUUGGUUGCCACGCAUUUCCAUCGGCACUGCGUAAGUAGACAAACUAUAUCACUGCACAACACAAAUAGGACAUGUGUACACGCCUUUCGCUAUACAUCCUCUAUAAUAUAGAAUAGUGGCAGUAGCGUAAAUGCAGGGUGGCAUGGAGUCAACUGACAUAUUUCAAGUAGGGAAUUUUAAAGGGACACUAAA